rnacentral:rRNA from 1 species
CUACGGGGUGCACCAGUGAGGAAUAUUGCGCAAUGGACGAAUGUCUGACGCAGCCAUGCCGCGUGCAGGAUGACGGCGCUACGCGUUGUAAACUGCUUUUAUAUACCAAGAAACCUCAGGACGUGUCCUGAGCUGACGGUAGUAUAUGAAUAAGCACCGGCUAACUCCGUGCCAGCAGCCGCGGUAAUACGGAGGGUGCCAGCGUUAUCCGGAUUUAUUGGGUUUAAAGGGUCCGUAGGCGGAUGAUUAAGUCAGUGGUGAAAGCCCACAGCUCAACUGUGGAACUGCCAUUGAUACUGAUUGUCUUGAGUACGUUUGAUGUUGGCGGAAUAUGUCAUGUAGCGGUGAAAUGCUUAGAUAUGACAUAGAACACCGAUUGCGAAGGCAGCCAACAAAGCCGUAACUGACGCUGAGGGACGAAAGCGUGGGGAGCGAACAGGAUUAGAUACCCGUGUAGUC